UGUAAGCGUAUACCAAAGUUGUUGCAGUUGAAACGCUCGUAGUCGGAAUUUGGCAGUUCCGGAUGUGUGCACGUCGUGUGCGCACUUCGCGGGGAUUGCUUUUGUGGUCUUGCGUAGGAUGAGGCACUUUUAUUAGUGAACGUCCUCACGCAACCACUUUUUACUGUGAGAAAAUCAGAGUGCUCAAAGCAGGCAUUUGCCGUGAAUGUAUUAGCAUGGAAUAAUAGAAUAGGACUUGGUUCUAUUUUGUUGGUUUGUUGGGACUGAGUAAUGAUUAAGAGGGACAGUUGGGGGCAUUUGUAUUUCGGUGCUAGAGGUGAAAUUCUUAGAUUACCGAAAGACAAACUGCUGCGAAAGCGUCUGCCAAGGAUGUUUUCACUGA
rnacentral:rRNA from 1 species